rnacentral:rRNA from 1 species
AACAUCGCCUCUUGCUACUGUAAUAUAAGAGGUCCCGCCUGCCCUGUGACUAACAGUUUAACGGCCGCGGUAUUUUGACCGUGCGAAGGUAGCGUAAUCACUUGUCUCUUAAAUGGAGACCUGUAUGAAUGGCAUAACGAGGGCUAAGCUGUCUCCUCCCUCCAGUCAAUGAAAUUGAUCUGCCCGUGCAGAAGCGGGCAUUUUUACAUAAGACGAGAAGACCCUAUGGAGCUUCAGACCCCAAGGCAAACUACAUUAGGCCCCCCUGACUCACCAGGGCCAAGCCCAGUAGCCUCCUUUGUCUGGGUGUCUUUGGUUGGGGCGACCGCGGGGAAAGACAAAACCCCCACGUGGAAAGGGAUACUCUCCUUAAAACCAGAGCCACAGCUCUAAUUAACAGAAAAUCUGACCAUCAAGAUCCGGCACCGCCGAUCAACGGACCCAGUUACCCUAGGGAUAACAGCGCAAUCCCCUUUUAGAGCCCAUAUCGACAAGGGGGUUUACGACCUCGAUGUUGGAUCAGGACUUCCUAAUGGUGCAGCCGCUAUUAAGGGUUCGUUUGUUCAACGAUUAAAGUCCUACGUGA